rnacentral:rRNA from 1 species
GAUGAACGCUAGCGGCAGGCUUAAUACAUGCAAGUCAAGGGGGUAGCAAUACAACCGGCGCACGGGUGAGUAACGCGUACACAACAUACCAUAUACUGGAGUAUAGCUUUGGGAAACUGAAGGUAAUCCUCCAUAACAUUGCGAGAGGGCAUCUGAUUGGCAAUUAAAGUUCCGACGGUAUAUGAUUGGUGUGCGUUUGAUUAGCUAGUUGGUAGGGUAACGGCCUACCAAGGCGACGAUCAAUAGCUGGCGUGAGAGCGCGACCAGCCACACUGGAACUGAGACACGGUCCAGACUCCUACGGGAGGCAGCAGGUAGGGAAUAUUGGACAAUGGGCGAAAGCCUGAUCCAGCCAUGCCGCGUGAUAGAUGAAGGCCCUCUGGGUUGUAAAUAUCUUUUAUCUUGGGAAGAAACUCCUCUAUUCUUAGAGGCCUGACGGUACCAGAGGAAUAAGCACCGGCUAAC